rnacentral:rRNA from 1 species
UACGGAGGGUGCGAGCGUUGUCCGGAAUCACUGGGCGUAAAGGGCGCGUAGGCGGUCGGCUAUGUCGGAUGUGAAAGCCUCGGGCUUAACCCGAGAAGGGCAUCCGAAACUGGCCGGCUUGAGUACGGAAGAGGGUCUCGGAAUUCCCGGUGUAGAGGUGAAAUUCGUAGAUAUCGGGAGGAACACCAGUGGCGAAGACGGAGACCUGGGCCGAUACUGACGCUGAGGUGCGAAAGCGUGGGGAGCAAACAGG